UACAGAGGUCCCAAGCGUUGUUCGGAUUCACUGGGCGUAAAGGGUGCGUAGGUGGUCGGGUAAGUUUAAGGUGAAAGCUCCGGGCUCAACCCGGAAAUGGCCUUGAAUACUAUCCGGCUCGAGGGUUGGAGGGGGGACUGGAAUUCUCGGUGUAGCAGUGAAAUGCGUAGAUAUCGAGAGGACCACCAGUGGCGAAGGCGAGUCCCUGGACAACACCUGACACUGAGGCACGAAAGCUAGGGGAGCAAACGGG
rnacentral:rRNA from 1 species